rnacentral:rRNA from 1 species
ACGCACGCUGGCGGCGUGCUUAACCCAUGCCAGUCGAACGGAAAGGCCCUGCUUUUGUGGGGUGCUCGAGUGGCGAACGGGUGAGUAACACGUGAGUCACCUGCCCUUGACUUUGGGAUAACUUCAGGAAACUGGGGCUAAUACCGGAUAGGAGCUCCUGCUGCAUGGUGGGGGUUGGAAAGUUUCGGCGGUUGGGGAUGGACUCGCGGCUUAUCAGCUUGUUGGUGGGGUAGUGGCUUACCAAGGCUUUGACGGGUAGCCGGCCUGAGAGGGUGACCGGCCACAUUGGGACUGAGAUACGGCCCAGACUCCUACGGGAGGCAGCAGUGGGGAAUAUUGCACAAUGGGCGGAAGCCUGAUGCAGCAACGCCGCGUGCGGGAUGACGGCCUUCGGGUUGUAAACCGCUUUCGCCUGUGACGAAGCGUGAGUGACGGUAAUGGGUAAAGAAGCACCGGCUAACUACGUG